UACGUAGGUGGCAAGCGUUGUCCGGAUUUACUGGGCGUAAGGGGCGCGUAGGCGGCCUUCUAAGUCAGACGUGAAAUCCCCAGGCUUAACUUGGGAACUGCGUCUGAUACUGGGAGGCUUGAGUGCGGGAGAGGGAUGUGGAAUUCCAGGUGUAGCGGUGAAAUGCGUAGAUAUCUGGAGGAACACCGGUGGCGAAGGCGGCAUCCUGGACCGACACUGACGCUGAGGCGCGAAAGCUAGGGGAGCAAACGGG
rnacentral:rRNA from 1 species